rnacentral:rRNA from 1 species
AUUGAACGCUGGCGGCAGGCUUAACACAUGCAAGUCGAGCGGAUGAAGGGAGCUUGCUCCUGGAUUCAGCGGCGGACGGGUGAGUAAUGCCUAGGAAUCUGCCUGGUAGCGGGGGAUAACGUCCGGACACGGGCGCUAAUACCGCAUACGUCCUGCGGGAGAACGUGGGGGAUCUUCGGACCUCACGCUAUCAGAUGAGCAUAGGUCGGUUUAGCUAGUUGGUGGGGUAAAGGCCUACCCAGGCGACUAUCCGUAACUGGUCUGAGAGGAUGAUCAGUCAAACUGGAAAUGAAGCCGUGUGGCAAGUAACACAGAAGGCAGCAGUGGGGAAUAUUGGGCCAUGCGUGAAAACCUAAUGCAGCCAUGCUGCGUGUGUGAAGCAGGUAUUCGGAUUGUGAAGCAAGCUAAGUUGGGAGGAGGGGCAGUAAGUUAAAAUCCGGCUAGUUUCACGUUACCAACAAAAAAAGCACCGGCUAACUACGUG